rnacentral:rRNA from 1 species
GAUUUCGGUCUGGUGGCGAGUGGCGAACGGGUGAGUAAUGUAUCGGAACGUGCCUAGUAGCGGGGGAUAACUACGCGAAAGCGUAGCUAAUACCGCAUACGCCCUACGGGGGAAAGCAGGGGAUCGUAAGACCUUGCACUAUUAGAGCGGCCGAUAUCGGAUUAGCUAGUUGGUGGGGUAACGGCUCACCAAGGCGACGAUCCGUAGCUGGUUUGAGAGGACGACCAGCCACACUGGGACUGAGACACGGCCCAGACUCCUACGGGAGGCAGCAGUGGGGAAUUUUGGACAAUGGGGGAAACCCUGAUCCAGCCAUCCCGCGUGUGCGAUGAAGGCCUUCGGGUUGUAAAGCACUUUUGGCAGGAAAGAAACGUCGUGGGUUAAUACCCCGCGAAACUGACGGUACCUGCAGAAUAAGCACCGGCUAACUACGUGCCAGCAGCCGCGGUAAUACGUAGGGUGCAAGCGUUAAUCGGAAUUACUGGGCGUAAAGCGUGCGCAGGCGGUUCGGAAAGAAAGAUGUGAAAUCCCAGAGCUUAACUUUGGAACUGCAUUUUUAACUACCGAGCUAGAGUGUGUCAGAGGGAGGUGGAAUUCCGCGUGUAGCAGUGAAAUGCGUAGAUAUGCGGAGGAACACCGAUGGCGAAGGCAGCCUCCUGGGAUAACACU